rnacentral:rRNA from 1 species
UGGCGGCGUGCCUAACACAUGCAAGUCGAACGGAGUUCUUAAGGAAUGCGACUUCGGUCAAAUGACUUUUGAACUUAGUGGCGGACGGGUGAGUAACGCGUGAGCAACCUGCCUUUCAGAGGGGGAUAACAUUUGGAAACAGAUGCUAAUACCGCAUAAGAUUACAGUACCGCAUGAUACAGUGAUCAAAGGAGCAAUCCGCUGAAAGAUGGGCUCGCGUCCGAUUAGAUAGUUGGUGAGGUAACGGCUCACCAAGUCGACGAUCGGUAGCCGGACUGAGAGGUUGAACGGCCACAUUGGGACUGAGACACGGCCCAGACUCCUACGGGAGGCAGCAGUGGGGAAUAUUGCACAAUGGGCGAAAGCCUGAUGCAGCAACGCCGCGUGAGGGAAGACGGUUUUCGGAUUGUAAACCUCUGUUUUCGGUGACGAACAAAUGACGGUAACCGAGUAGGAAGCCACGGCUAACUACGUGCCAGCAGCCGCGGUAAUACGUAGGUGGCAAGCGUUAUCCGGAAUUACUGGGUGUAAAGGGAGCGCAGGCGGGAUAGCAAGUCAGCUGUGAAAACUAUGGGCUCAACCCAUAAACUGCAGUUGAAACUGUUAUUCUUGAGUGGAGUAGAGGCAAGCGGAAUUCCGAGUGUAGCGGUGAAAUGCGUAGAUAUUCGGAGGAACACCAGUGGCGAAGGCGGCUUGCUGGGCUCUAACUGACGCUGAGGCUCGAAAGUGUGGGGAGCAAACAGGAUUAGAUACCCUGGUAGUCCACACUGUAAACGAUGAUUGCUAGGUGUGGGGGGUCUGACCCCCUCCGUGCCGGAGUUAACGCAAUAAGCAAUCCACCUGGGGAGUACGGCCGCAAGGUUGAAAC